rnacentral:rRNA from 1 species
AGCUCCAGUAGCGUAUAUUAAAGUUGUUGCAGUUAAAAAGCUCGUAGUUGGAUUUCUGGUGUGACAUCUCUGACCCGCUGACUAUACGUCGGUGUCGUGUCGGACGAUAUCUACCAUCCUUGUAAAAGCGUUUCUACUCUUCACUGAGCCGGAUUCGUGUUUUGCAUCUUUUACUUUGAAGAAAUUAGAGUGUUCAAAGCAGGCUCGCGCUAUGAAUACAUUAGCAUGGAAUAAUAAUCUAGGACUUGGGUUCUAUUUUGUUGGUUUCUAGGACUUAAGUAAUGAUUGAUAGGGAUAGUUGGGGGUGCUAGUAUUCAGCGGCCAGAGGUGAAAUUCUCGGAUUCGCUGAAGACUAACUUAUGCGAAAGCAUUCACCAAGGAUGUCUUCUUUAAUCAAGAA